UUUCUUUUUCUUUUUUUUUUGAGACAGAGUCUCACUCUGUCACCCAGGCUGGAGUGCAGUGGCAUGAUCUCUGCUCACUGCAACCUCCACCUCCCAGGUUCAAGCGAUUCUCCUGCCUCAGCCUCCUUGAGUAGCUGGGAUUACAGGCCCUGGCCACCACACCCAGCUAGAUUUUGUGGGGUUUUUUUGUUUUGUUUUGUUUUUUGUUUUAAUUUUUGAGACAGUGUCUCUCUCUCCACCUAGGCUGGAGUGUAGUGAUGCGAUCUCAGCUUAUUGCAGCCUCCAGCUCCUAGAUUCAAGUGAUUCUCAUGCCUCAGCCUUCCAAGUAGCUGGGGCCACAGAUGCCCGGGAGUGGAAUUGUUGGGUUAUAUGGAGAUUCUGCGUUGCAUUGAGGAAACGCCAAACUUUUCCAUAGCGGCUGCACCAUUUUACAUUCCCACUGUCAGUGCCUCGAGCUGUCAGCACCAUGGACAGGCUGGAGUGCGGUGGUGCGAUCACGGCUUACUGCAGCUUUGACCUCUGUAGCUCAAGUGAUCCUCCCACCUCAACCUCCUGAGAGCUGGGACUACAGGCGUGAGUCACCACACCCAGGUAGUUUUGUUUUGAUUUGUUUUAUUUUUUGUAGAGAUGGGGGUCUCACCAUGUUGUCCAGGCUGGUCUCAAACUUCUGGGCUCAAGCGAUCUGCCUGUCUUGGCCUCCCAAAGUGAUGGGAUUACAGGUAUAAAGUGUUUUUUGUUUUUCUUUUUUUUUUUUUGAGACAGAGUUUCACUCUGUUGCCCAGGCUGGAGUGCAGUGGUGCCUCUGCCUCCCAGGUUCAAGCUAUUCUCCUGCCUCAGCCUCCCAAGUAGCUGGGGUUACAGACACCCGUCACCACACCUGGCUAAUUUUUGUAUUUUUAAUAGAGAUGGGGUUUCACCAUGUUGGCCAGGCUGGUCUCUAACUGUUGACCUCAGGUGAUCUGCCUGCCUCAGCCUCCCAAAGUGCUGGGAUUACAGGUGCAAGCCACCACAGCCGGCCUAAAGUUUUUAAUUAACUUU